rnacentral:misc_RNA from 1 species
UCCGGUUUGUCACCGGCAGUCUCCUUAGAGUUCCCACCAUUACGUGCUGGUAACUAAGGACAAGGGUUGCGCUCGUUACGGGACUUAACCCAACAUCUCACGACACGAGCUGACGACAGCCAUGCAGCACCUGUGCUGGCCCCUUACGGACACGGGCUUUCACCCGCUUUAACCAGCAUGUCAAGCCCAGGUAAGGUUCUUCGCGUUGCAUCGAAUUAAGCCACAUGCUCCGCCGCUUGUGCGGGUCCCCGUCAAUUCCUUUGAGUUUAACCUUGCGGCCGUACUCCCCAGGCGGGAUACUUAACGCGUUAGCUGCGGCACAGAGGGGGUUAAUGACCCCCUACACCUAGUAUCCAUCGUUUACAGCGUGGACUA